CACGCCGUAAACUAUGAUUACUAGCUGUUUGCGAUAUAUUGUAAGCGGCACAGCGAAAGCGUUAAGUAAUCCACCUGGGGAGUACGCCGGCAACGGUGAAACUCAAAGGAAUUGACGGGGGCCCGCACAAGCGGAGGAACAUGUGGUUUAAUUCGAUGAUACGCGAGGAACCUUACCCGGGCUCGAACGGCUGAUUGAUACGGAUGAAAGUUUGUAGCUAGCAAUAGGAUCAGUCGAGGUGC
rnacentral:rRNA from 1 species